AGCAUCUUGCCAGCUUGGGUUGCUGCGUUAAGGAAAGAUGUCAGGCUUUCUUAAUUUGCCACUGCAGGGGCAAGGGUGUCAUUUAUGUGGGUUUGUUUGAGGGCUGCAUUCCUAGUGAAGUAUUCCAUCAAACUGCCAUUAUUCAUCUUGAUGAAAGCUUGAGGAACUUUAGAAGGAGAGAAACAUCCAGACCACCCGGUUUUUGGUUUCUAAAUGACAUGAAGAGAAUACAAUGUUAAUAAUUCAGCUUAGAGAACUAUCAACACAGGACAAUGCAAGCCCAUGAGCUGUUCCGGUAUUUUCGAAUGCCAGAGCUGGUUGACUUCCGACAGUACGUGCGUACUCUUCCGACCAACACGCUUAUGGGCUUCGGAGCUUUUGCAGCACUCACCACCUUCUGGUACGCCACGAGACCCAAACCCCUGAAGCCGCCAUGCGACCUCUCCAUGCAGUCAGUGGAAGUGGCGGGUAGUGGUGGUGCACGAAGAUCCGCACUACUUGACAGCGACGAGCCCUUGGUGUAUUUCUAUGAUGAUGUCACAACAUUAUACGAAGGUUUCCAGAGGGGAAUACAGGUGUCAAGAUCGCUCAGGCCCCUCUGUGUCCACUGUAACUUUCCCAGAGUCGGUCCCAAAGCUCACUGGACCCUCUAGAUGUUCCCUGUGGCCCUGGGGGCUCCAUGGUCAAAUAUGUGAGUGUCACAUCCUGUAUUUUAUGAUAAUGGCCCUUGUUUAGGCUCUCGGAAACCAGACCAACCCUAUGAAUGGCUUUCAUAUAAACAGGUUGCAGAAUUGUCGGAGUGCAUAGGCUCAGCACUGAUCCAGAAGGGCUUCAAGACUGCCCCAGAUCAGUUCAUUGGCAUCUUUGCUCAAAAUAGACCUGAGUGGGUGAUUAUUGAACAAGGAUGCUUUGCUUAUUCGAUGGUGAUCGUUCCACUUUAUGAUACCCUUGGAAAUGAAGCCAUCACGUACAUAGUCAACAAAGCUGAACUCUCUCUGGUUUUUGUUGACAAGCCAGAGAAGGCCAAACUCUUAUUAGAGGGUGUAGAAAAUAAGUUAAUACCAGGCCUUAAAAUCAUAGUUGUCAUGGAUGCCUACGGCAGUGAACUGGUGGAACGAGGCCAGAGGUGUGGGGUGGAAGUCACCAGCAUGAAGGCGAUGGAGGACCUGGGAAGAGCCAACAGACGGAAGCCCAAGCCUCCAGCACCUGAAGAUCUUGCAGUAAUUUGUUUCACAAGUGGAACUACAGGCAACCCCAAAGGAGCAAUGGUCACUCACCGAAACAUAGUGAGCGAUUGUUCAGCUUUUGUGAAAGCAACAGAGAAUACAGUCAAUCCUUGCCCAGAUGAUACUUUGAUAUCUUUCUUGCCUCUCGCCCAUAUGUUUGAGAGAGUUGUAGAGUGUGUAAUGCUGUGUCAUGGAGCUAAAAUCGGAUUUUUCCAAGGAGAUAUCAGGCUGCUCAUGGAUGACCUCAAGGUGCUUCAACCCACUGUCUUCCCCGUGGUUCCAAGACUGCUGAACCGGAUGUUUGACCGAAUUUUCGGACAAGCAAACACCACGCUGAAGCGAUGGCUCUUGGACUUUGCCUCCAAGAGGAAAGAAGCAGAGCUUCGCAGCGGCAUCAUCAGAAACAACAGCCUGUGGGACCGGCUGAUCUUCCACAAAGUACAGUCGAGCCUGGGCGGAAGAGUCCGGCUGAUGGUGACAGGAGCCGCCCCGGUGUCUGCCACUGUGCUGACGUUCCUCAGAGCAGCCCUGGGCUGUCAGUUUUAUGAAGGAUACGGACAGACAGAGUGCACUGCCGGGUGCUGCCUGACCAUGCCUGGAGACUGGACCGCAGGCCAUGUUGGGGCCCCGAUGCCGUGCAAUUUGAUAAAACUUGUUGAUGUGGAAGAAAUGAAUUACAUGGCUGCCGAGGGCGAGGGCGAGGUGUGUGUGAAAGGGCCAAAUGUAUUUCAGGGCUACUUGAAGGACCCAGCGAAAACAGCAGAAGCUUUGGACAAAGACGGCUGGUUACACACAGGGGACAUUGGAAAAUGGUUACCAAAUGGCACCUUGAAAAUUAUCGACCGGAAAAAGCACAUAUUUAAGCUGGCACAAGGAGAAUACAUAGCCCCUGAAAAGAUUGAAAAUAUCUACAUGCGAAGUGAGCCUGUUGCUCAGGUGUUUGUCCACGGAGAAAGCCUGCAGGCAUUUCUCAUUGCAAUUGUGGUACCAGAUGUUGAGACAUUAUGUUCCUGGGCCCAAAAGAGAGGAUUUGAAGGGUCGUUUGAGGAACUGUGCAGAAAUAAGGAUGUCAAAAAAGCUAUCCUCGAAGAUAUGGUGAGACUUGGGAAGGAUUCUGGUCUGAAACCAUUUGAACAGGUCAAAGGCAUCACAUUGCACCCUGAAUUAUUUUCUAUCGACAAUGGCCUUCUGACUCCAACAAUGAAGGCGAAAAGGCCAGAGCUGCGGAACUAUUUCAGGUCGCAGAUAGAUGACCUCUAUUCCACUAUCAAGGUUUAGUGUGAAGAAGAAAGCUCAGAGGAAAUGGCACAGUUCCACAAUCUCUUCUCCUGCUGAUGGCCUUCAUGUUGUUAAUUUUGAAUACAGCAAGUGUAGGGAAGGAAGCGUUCGUGUUUGACUUGUCCAUUCGGGGUUCUUCUCAUAGGAAUGCUAGAGGAAAGAGAACACUGCCUUACAGUCACCUCAUGUUGCAGACCAUGUUUAUGGUAAUACACACUUUCCAAAAUGAGCCUUAAAAAUUGUAAAGGGGAUACUAUAAAUGUGCUAAGUUAUUUGAGACUUCCUCAGUUUAAAAAGUGGGUUUUAAAUCUUCUGUCUCCCUGUUUCUCUAAUCAAGGGGUUAGGACUUUGCUAUCUCUGAGAUGUCUGCUACUUGCUGCAAAUUCUGCAGCUGUCUGCUGCUCUAAAGAGUACAGUGCACUAGAGGGAAGUGUUCCCUUUAAAAAUAAGAACAACUGUCCUGGCUGGAGAAUCUCACAAGCGGACCAGAGAUCUUUUUAAAUCCCUGCUACUGUCCCUUCUCACAGGCAUUCACAGAACCCUUCUGAUUCGUAAGGGUUACGAAACUCAUGUUCUUCUCCAGUCCCCUGUGGUUUCUGUUGGAGCAUAAGGUUUCCAGUAAGCGGGAGGGCAGAUCCAACUCAGAACCAUGCAGAUAAGGAGCCUCUGGCAAAUGGGUGCUCAUCAGAACGCGUGGAUUCUCUUUCAUGGCAGAAUGCUCUUGGACUCGGUUCUCCAGGCCUGAUUCCCCGACUCCAUCCUUUUUCAGGGGUUAUUUAAAAAUCUGCCUUAGAUUCUAUAGUGAAGACAAGCAUUUCAAGAAAGAGUUACCUGGAUCAGCCAUGCUCAGCUGUGACGCCUGAAUAACUGUCUACUUUAUCUUCACUGAACCACUCACUCUGUGUAAAGGCCAACAGAUUUUUAAUGUGGUUUUCAUAUCAAAAGAUCAUGUUGGGAUUAACUUGCCUUUUUCCCCAAAAAAUAAACUCUCAGGCAAGCAUUUCUUUAAAGCUAUUAAGGGAGUAUAUACUUGAGUACUUAUUGAAAUGGACAGUAAUAAGCAAAUGUUCUUAUAAUGCUACCUGAUUUCUAUGAAAUGUGUUUGACAAGCCAAAAUUCUAGGAUGUAGAAAUCUGGAAAGUUCAUUUCCUGGGAUUCACUUCUCCAGGGAUUUUUUAAAGUUAAUUUGGGAAAUUAACAGCAGUUCACUUUAUUGUGAGUCUUUGCCACAUUUGACUGAAUUGAGCUGUCAUUUGUACAUUUAAAGCAGCUGUUUUGGGGUCUGUGAGAGUACAUGUAUUAUAUACAAGCACAACAGGGCUUGCACUAAAGAAUUGUCAUUGUAAUAACACUACUUGGUAGCCUAACUUCAUAUAUGUAUUCUUAAUUGCACAAAAAGUCAAUAAUUUGUCACCUUGGGGUUUUGAAUGUUUGCUUUAAGUGUUGGCUAUUUCUAUGUUUUAUAAACCAAAACAAAAUUUCCAAAAACAAUGAAGGAAACCAAAAUAAAUAUUUCUGCAUUUCAGGUGA